CAGCCGCCGCGGUAAUACGAGGGGGGCAAGCGUUGUUCAGAAUUAUUGGGCGUAAAGGGCGCGUAGGCGGUUUGACAAGUCUUGUGUGAAAUCUCUGGGCUCAACCCAGAGUCUGCACGGGAAACUGUCGGGCUUGAGUAUGGGAGAGGUGAGUGGAAUUUCCGGUGUAGCGGUGAAAUGCGUAGAUAUCGGAAGGAACACCUGUGGCGAAAGCGGCUCACUGGACCAUAACUGACGCUGAGGCGCGAAAGCUAGGGGAGCAAACAGGAUUAGAUACCCGCGUAGUCCCUGUCUCUUAUAC
rnacentral:rRNA from 1 species